ACGGAGGGUGCAAGCGUUGUCCGGAAUCAUUGGGCGUAAAGCGUUCGUAGGCGGCAUACCAAGUCUGGUGUUAAAGCCCGAGGCUCAACCUCGGUUCGGCACUGGAUACUGGUAAGCUAGAAUGCGGUAGAGGUGAGGGGAAUUCCUGGUGUAGCGGUGAAAUGCGUAGAUAUCAGGAGGAACACCGGUGGCGAAGGCGCCUCACGGGACCGUUAUUGACGCUGAGGAACGAAAGCCUGGGGAGCAAAUGG
rnacentral:rRNA from 1 species